ACAGAAUAUUGUAUACAUAAUAAAUAAAUAAAUAAAUAAUAAUAAAAAACAAGUAAACCAAAAAGUACAAAAAGUAAAAACAAGUCCGUCUCUCUGGCUGUAUGAGGUAGCAAUCAGCCUCGGACUCUGGAAUCAGUUUAUGCAGUAGAUUCGCCAAUAGAGAGGGGACUAUCAGAAUAACUUCCACUUUAAAACACACCACUGUGUGCCCAGCUAUGUCAGGGCACAGGUAUGGUUGGUUAUGGGCACAUGAGUGCAGAUAUCCCAGGAGGCCAGAGGCAUCAGGUCUUUGGAGCCAGAAUAACAAGUGGUUGUGAGCCACACCUUGUGGGUCCUGGAAACCACUCUCAGGACCUCUGGGAGAGCAGCUCGUGAUCUUAACUGCUGAGCCACCUCUCCUGCAAACCAUAGUACAGAUUAGAAAAGCGGCUCCAGAAGUCAGCUAGGCAUCUUCUCUGUGUUGCUUCGUGAGGUGGAUCUCUGUGACGUGGUAGCCAUUCCCCUGAGUCAGCAUGGUAAGCGGAUGUUUUCCCAGGCCAGUGGGAAGUCUCUCAACUCUGAUACAAACUUUCUGGCUGAAUUACCCACCCCCAAAUCCCUCUGCAGAAGUUUAGGAGAGAUCGCAGGUUCUAUCGUGGCUCAGCCCACGCAGCGGUGAGUUGGGAACCCUGGUUAGGGAAUAUCAACCCCGGAGUGACCGCAGUGUGUCCUCUCCACCGUCCUGGUGGGCCUUCUUCAUCCUGCAGGUCAACUGCCUUCAGCCUGGCCAAAGGGAGGAAGAAUGUCUCUCAGAUUUUAGCUUGGAAGAAGAUGAACUGAAUCUCUAAGAACUGCACCAGCUCUACUGACUGUCACAGGCCCUGCCCUCUGACUUUCGUGGGAAGUUCUACAUGUCUGACCAGUGAGCUGCUGACAUCCCCGAACACCCAAGAGUGAGGCCCAAAUCCUGCCCGGCGGCUUGGAAGAGGUCUAGGGGAGGCUCGAGCCCUGUCAUAAUGGUGGGAAAAGGUCCCUGUGCAGAAUGGAACUGGGCCGCAGCAUAACACAGGCUGCCUGUCUCUUGGGUCCACUACUCCCUCAUCAAUGUCUGCGCCAUAACAGGAGUUUACAACCGUUUGUUUUUAUUCCAGGAUACCAGUUUCUUUGGGGAGCAAUACCGUGUGUGCUGGUUUGAAAAAAAAUGCCCCCCCCAAGGAGAAGCUCUGUUUGGAGGUGUGGCCUUAUCGGAGUGGGCAUGGUCUUGUGGAUGGACUGUGUUACUGUGGGGGUGGGGUUGAGGUCUUCUCAAGUGUCACUCAAUGUGCUAAUCAACUUCCUGCUGCCUUCUGGUCAAGACUGUCAUUCUCAGCUCCAGAACCACGUCUGCCUGCAGGCUGCCAUGCUCCCUGUCAUGAUGAUAACGGACUGGACCUCUGAACUGUAAACAAGCCACCCCAAUUAAAUAUUUUCUUUAUAAGA